rnacentral:misc_RNA from 1 species
GUGAAUCAUCGAAUCUUUGAACGCAUAUUGCGCCCCUUGGUAUUCCGGGGGGCACACCUGUUCGAGCGCCAUUUCGACCCUCAAGCAUUGCUUGGUGUUGGGUAAGGUCCUUAGGGGACCCUCCCGUAACUCGUAGGCGGUCGUCGAUCGCGCCCCCAGCGUAGCAAGCUAACGCAUUCGCUCGGGGACGAUCUACGUAGCCAGCCCACUAAAAAACCCCCAAAGGUUUGGCCUCGAAUCAGGUGGGGAUACCCGCUGAACUUAAGCAUAUCAAUAAGCGGAGGA